GCCGUGCUCACCUGAGCCCUCUGCCGCUACUUGUCGAGAGGAAGAAGACACCGCGAGGAGAGACGGAGCAGCCCCGAUGAGACCUGCCUGUCAGUUUCUCACCGUUGACCAGCCCCGGGCCCGCGCCAAGUUAAGUGGAGACGUACUCCUCGUAGUACGGUUUCCCUUACCGAAAACGUCUUUUGGUCUUUUCUCCAAGUCAAAAUACGUUUUCUUCUCCGGAAAGUGUAUUUCCUUUGUACUACGGCUGAAAAUGCGUUUUCUCUGCUCUGAAGGCGUAUUCCACUAAAUGUGUUUUCUGUUUUUCAGUCAGGGGCCUGUUUGUGAAGUUUCUUUUACAGAUUGGUCCCUAGUGUUCAAACGUCUAUAGCUCCGCGACCGUGACUCCGAUUCAGGUGAAUCCAGAGCCCACGUUCUCGUCUUGUCGAGCCCUAUCUGUUGGUACCAUUUUCAUGAUGUUGUCACAUUCUAAAAAUGACCAUUAUGCCCUUGUCUUUAAUCAGCCCCCUUCGAGAGAGAAGUGUUUCCGACGAUUCUUUCCGCAGCUUCACCACACUUCUUCCCGGUGUACCCUUCCUCUUCAGGCAAGCCACGACAGCCACUUGCAUGAUGGCCAUGCAAUAGCCAUGGUUUUCAACUUGAAUAUUUAAAUAUUGUGUGCAUGUUAAUAUUCUUGUGAACACUUUAUAUGCUUGUGAAUUGGUACAUACUUUGAUACUCUGUCCAUGUGCAUAUUGCUAGUUAUUGUCAUGACCGGUUUUUCAAUAAAAUAAUUAUUGAGAGACCAAUCCCUUUUACGGACCAGUAAGGAAGAAUUCCUUCUCACUGGUAGACAAUAUCUUGGUCACAGAAGAAAAAUACCAGGAGUACUAAAUAUAAUACAAGGUUGAGCGGAGACUGCCCAACAAUUUAUUACAUGCACGCCGAUAAAACAAGACGGCGGAUAGGGUGGCAUACUACUAACUCACGAUAAUAACGGUGGUGGAAAUAUCACCGCAAAGCGAGUGAUAUGACUCCUGAAGACUACAGCUCUUCGAGCGUCGGAGUGAGGCUCGAGGAGACUUAUUGCGGGUGGCGGAAGCGUAUAUAAUACAAGUGACCAAUAUCCGGGAUCGCACAGGACUGACUGGGACUCCUCUAGGCGUCGGACGCGCUAUCAAUCUCUUCAUCCAAGAGAUCGCCUUCGUCAACAUCUGGCCAAAUCAACAAGCCAGGUGAGUACUAUGAAAGUACUCGCAAGACAGUUCGGACAUAAGAUAUAACAAAUGUAAACAUGAAGCAUAUGAACAAUUUAUCCAGUGCGUUCAGACAUAGAGAUAAUAAAUACUGGGUGCCAAGCGAGGGUCUGAAUGACGCCUCGAGCGGAAACUGCAGAAUAGUAAUACUGGUGCCAAACGAGUGUCUGAAAGACUCCUCGAGAGGAAACUGCGAGAAUAAUAAUACUGGUGCCAAACGAGUGUCCGAAUGACUCCUCGAGAGGAAAAUGCAAGAAUAAUAAUAAUGCCACAGUCGGACGUCUGAGCGACAUCACAUAAAGGGCUUAUAACAGAAAAUAAAAGACGAACAUGCCACAGUCGGACGUCUGAGCGACAUCACCUAAAGGGCUUAUAUUUAAUGUAAGAAACAAAA
rnacentral:lncRNA from 1 species